rnacentral:lncRNA from 1 species
CUUGACUGGCAUGGAGUCACUUUGUAUUGGGUGGAAACAAUAAAAUGAUUUCAAUUAGACAAACCCAGAGGUGAAGUUUCCUGACACCAACAUGGUCCCUGAGCCUGCCCUGCUCUGGCUUGUCAAUCCCAACCCGAUUCCCCCGUGACGGGCACCACUGCUGAUCUGAAAUCCUGGUCCAAAGACAACCUGCGACUUCCGGGAAGCCGUCCGACGGGCAGACCUCCAGACGGAACGAGGGAGUGGAGCCAAGCCCCAGACCCCGUCUCCCUGACGCCCGUGGAGAUGAACUCAGAUGUAAAACGUACCAGGAGUGACCAAAGCCACCGGUGAGGAAAGAGAAGGCCGUCUGCACUGGGUUUUGGAGGGAGACGGGAGGGCAAGAGCAGACCUGGUUGUGAAAUGGUAAGGAGUGAAUGCCUGGGGGCCGAUCACCUGCCCUCUGGCUUUCUCCAGGAGCCUGAUUAACCUGGGUCCGACCUUUGAGAUCGUAAAUUACUGCCCUGGGAGUCUGACCACUCCCUCUUGAAAUGAUGCCUCUGGACAGAGCCCUCUCUUGUCUCCUGUCCCUGUGAGCAUGCCUCAUGUCCCCGUCUCUGCACAGGCCUGCAGCAUGCCUCAUGUCCCCGGCUCUGCACAGGCCUGCAGCAUGCCUCAUGUCCCCGUCUCUGCACAGGCCUGCAGCAUGCCUCAUGUCCCCGUCUCUGCACAAACCUGCAGCAUGCCUCAUGUCCCCGUCUCUGCACAAACCUGCAGCGCAUAGAUUAGGAUUCUUUUUUUUUUUUUAAAGGAAAAAGCCCAGUGAUAGGAUGGGUCCAAGAUGACCCCAAAUAACCUAUAAAUGUUGUGAGACGCUGAGGAUCGGGCUCAGGAUUUGGAGUUGGUCCUCCUCUGGGGCCACCGGUGUAAAGUUUGCCCUUCUCUCUCCCAGUGCUGCCUGCUGCGUCUAGACCAGUCUGUUUCCCACGACAGACCAAGCAAAGCCCUGAGGGAGGCUGGUGGCCCUUCUCCACGUGAUCCUAAGCCCCUUCAGCCAGAGUGAUAUGGAGAAAGAAGGACGUUAACCACCGUGGGCAGAUAUGCCCUUCUGUGGAGGGGAGCCUAGGCACUAGGCAGGAGGCCUGAGAAAGGGCCUUCAAGGUCCCUGCGUGUCACCUGAUCACCUGUGUCACCUAAUCACCUGACCACCUGUGGGUAACCUCACAUUCAUCUUGCCGCACCUGUCCGUGGGGACUUUCUGGAGUGCACUGUGCCCAAAUACCCUGGAAGAACUCUUGUUUCAGUUGACAUGACAAUGUGGGUAACCCGAGGGUCACUUUCACCACAAAACAUUUAGAUCCUGGAAAACCCUAGUCUUUAAAAGCAAUUCGCUCCCCUCCCGGGAGGUGAAGGGAUUCUCUAGGGAAGCACCUGCAUCUAAACAAAACCCAAAAGAUCAACAGAAAUAGCAGCUGAAAUCUGAGUACAAAGCAGAGGUGACAUCCCAUCUGCUACCAAUGCAAACGCGGAGGAGCAGUUGGGACCACCUGGAAUAUAGAGGGAAAGGCUCCCCUGCAGCCCUGGCAGGGGACCUACGCAGCUCCCGGCUCCCAGCGGAAGCAAACGCACGUCUCCCAGGACAGAAGUGGCCUUAGAACCGGCAGAGAGGUCUAGACUGCAGGGACUUGGGACAACCAGAUACGGGCACCAACAGCUGUGGGAGGGCGAUGAAAGUCCCACUCUCCCUCUCUUCUAAUCUCCCUCCCUCUUUUCUUUCUCCUUUUCCCCAUAUUCUGAGCUACCCAAAACGGUGGGCGUUAGUGGCCGUGAGAAAAUCCCAGAGACAUUAGUGGGGACAUCCCAGAGGCCCGUGAAGGCACAGAGGAUGCCGAAGGUGCAGAAAGACGACAAGGAGGCUCCGGGUCCCACCCGCGGUCUCAGGAGCGCGGAGGCAGGUCCUGGGGCUUCCUUCCCGUGUCAUCUAACCCACAGGGUGGCAGAGGACAAGAGUCACAUCUCAG